rnacentral:rRNA from 1 species
UACGAAGGGGGCUAGCGUUGUUCGGAAUUUACUGGGCGUAAAGGGCGCGUGAGGCGGGCCAUUCAAAGUUAGGUGUGAAAAGCCCUGGGCUCAACCUAGGGAAUUGCACUUGAUACUGUUUGGCUUGAGUUCGGGAGAGGUGAGUGGGAAUUCCCAGUGUAGAGGUGAAAUUCGUAGAUAUUGGGAAGAACACCAGUGGCGAAGGCGGCUCACUGGACCGACACUGACGCUGAGGCGCGAAAGCGUGGGGAGCAACAGG